UAUCUCUGUAGAGUCUGCAUAUCAAUAAGCGGAGGAAAAGAAACUAACUAGGAUUCCCUCAGUAACGGCGAGUGAAGCGGGAAGAGCUCAAAUUUGAAAUCUUCAAGGUUCUACCUUGACGAAUUGUAGUUUAAAGAAGUGUUUUCUGUUGGAGUUUUGGUAAAAGUUCUUUGGAAUAGGACAUCAUAGAGGGUGAGAAUCCCGUAUUUGACCGUUACUUUUCCAGCUGUGUGAUACACUUUCAAAGAGUCGGAUUGUUUGGGAAUGCAGUCCAAGAUGGGUGGUAAAUUUCAUCUAAAGCUAAAUAUUGGCGAGAGACCGAUAGCGAACAAGUACCGUGAGGGAAAGAUGAAAAGAACUUUGAAAAGAGAGUUAAACAGUACGUGAAAUUGUCAAAAGGGAAGCGUUUGACACCAGUGUUGUUUAGUUGAAAAUCAAUUCAAUAGUUUUUGAUUCUAAGUAGUAUUGACUUCAUCAGCUUGCUGCUUUCUUCUCAGAAAUUAUUGAAUGCACUUUUCAGUUAACAAGUCAACAUCAAUUUCUUUUGUUGUAAAAGGGUAAGAGGAAGGUGGCUUGCGCUUCGGCUCAAGUGUUUAUAGCCUUUUAUCUCUGCAAUCGGAGAGAUUGAGGUCUGCAGCGUAGAUCCUUCGGGGUUAGAUACAUUGGUGCUAAGCUAUAGCCUUGUAUAGACAACUUGUUGACUAUGCUCAGUCAUGUAGCUUACUCGCUGAUGCUAUUUUACCUACGCUUAGGAUGUUGAACGCGCACAGAGUCUC
rnacentral:rRNA from 1 species